UGGGGAAUAUUGGACAAUGGGGGAAACCCUGAUCCAGCAAUGCCGCGUGAGUGAUGAAGGCCUUCGGGUUGUAAAGCUCUUUUGUCAGGGACGAUGAUGACGGUACCUGACGAAUAAGCUCCGGCUAACUUCGUGCCAGCAGCCGCGGUAAUACGAGGGGAGCUAGCGUUGUUCGGAAUUACUGGGCGUAAAGGGCGUGUAGGCGGUACCAUAAGUCAGAUGUGAAAGCCCUAGGCUUAACCUAGGAGGUGCAUUUGAUACUGUGGAACUAGAGAUCGAGAGAGGAAAGUGGAAUUACGAGUGUAGAGGUGAAAUUCGUAGAUAUUCGUAAGAACACCAGUGGCGAAGGCGACUUUCUGGCUCGAUACUGACGCUAAGGCGCGAAAGCGUGGGGAGCAAACAGGAUUAGAUACCCCCGUAGUCC
rnacentral:rRNA from 1 species